UACGUAGGGGGCAAGCGUUGUCCGGAAUCAUUGGGCGUAAAGCGCGUGUAGGCGGUCCGGUAAGUCCGCUGUGAAAGUCGGGGGCUCAACCCUCGGAUGCCGGUGGAUACUGUCGGGCUUGAGUACGGAAGAGGCGAGUGGAAUUCCGUGGUGUAGCGGUGAAAUGCGCAGAUAUCAGGAGAAACACCAAUUGCGAAGGCAGCUCGCUGGGACGUUACUGACGCUGAGACGCGAAAGCGUGGGGAGCAAACAGG
rnacentral:rRNA from 1 species